ACGAUGUUUUUGUCUGCUCCAGA
rnacentral:miRNA from 3 species